rnacentral:lncRNA from 1 species
UACAAGGCAACGCAACCAUGUCAUACACAACAAACUAUGAUUGAAUAAUUAAUUUUCUUUUGCCAAGGUUGCUGGGGAGGGAAUUAUUUCUAGACUACAGACAUCUUUGAACCCAACUGUGGGCUCUCUGAUAUAUAAAUAUAUAAUACGAUACAGUAGGGAGUAUCAAGGAAAUGCUGGAAACCUUAAGGAGGCACACAAUGGCAAUCUCUAAGCAUUCAGAGCUACCGCAUAGACUGGCAUUGUAGCAUUGACUCCUUAGGGCAGUGUACUCAACACUGUAAAUUCCUCUACCAAAAGAUAUUCACAGAGUAAUGCUACAUUUCCUUUGAAAUCAGGCUGCACAAUACAAAAUUGUAACAUCUGCUUCCAGCUAAAUGCAUCAUUUUAGCCGCAAAAACUCAAGCUCCUGUGAACAUAAAUAUUCAUAAAGGGAUAAGGGUCUGAAAAAUACCCAACUUUGGUCGGAUUUGCUGUUGCAAUACUAAACUUUCAUGAGGACCUAUAACCUCCCUAGACUAUUUAAUAUCGUAUUUUUUACCUCCUGAACUAUUUUAAUAGUGUAUUUUAAAGGUAUAUAUGUGCCCACGUGGACACAUUACUAUUUAUAAUUUUCCAUUAUUUUUUAUGUCCACGUGGGCAAAUAUAUAUGUUUAAAAUACAGUAUUAAAUAGUCUAGGGAGGUAAUAGGUCCUGAUGAAAGUUUAGUAUCGCAACAGCAAAUUCGACCAAAGUUGGGAUAUUUUUCACACCCUUAUCCCUAUUCAUAAUAAUAAAGCCGUUAGUAAUAAUAUUCUCAAUUGUAGAAUAAAGACGGGCACAAGCAUGCCGCUCAACAAAAGAUGCAUAGGCCUAGCCAUUGCAUGGCCCCUUUCAAGUAAACUGUAACUUUAAAUCUCCAACUCACAGAUCAUGCCUAAGCCCAACUUCUAGAAUCUUUAUAGUAAAAAAUACUUGGAUGGGUAUCUUUUAAUAAAGUAAAUUAUGUAUGUAAUAUAUAUGUAUUAUAAUUGUUUUAAAAUAAAUUAUGCUUGUUCUGUGAAAAAUUUACACAUUAUAUUAAAAUGUGUGAUAAAUAUAUUAUUCAUCAAUAAAAUUUGUGUUAUAUGUGUUUUAUAAAUUGUUCCCCGUAAUAUAUAUUAAAACUGUAUUAUAAAUGUAUUAAAAGUGAUUAAAUGAAAAAAAAUGAUAUCACUAUAAAUGGUAAAUAUUUUCUUAAUAUAGUAUAUUUAUGUAAGUUUCCCAUGUUUAUAUGCUCGACCACCAACACACCAAAACGAAAGGGUUGCAAGAUUAUCGGUGAUACUUGAGCUAUUUCUGGACCAACUUAAUAAAUUCUGCAAUUCAAAGAAAAGAAGAAACCUGCAGGCUCGUUUUUCCACAUCCAUUCCUGAGCAGCUUGAAUCCCCUGUGAAGAGUAAGAAGAUGAGGUGAUAUGUAGGGGUGGCAAUUUGAGCCCAUAUUGAUGAAAUGAGUCUACUUUGUCUAUAUUUAAUGACUUGGACCACUCAUAUUUUAAUGGAAAAAUUACUUAAAUACACAACACUUCUUUACCUAUUCUCAAUAUUUUCCUACUCUUUUACUAAAAUACAAAAAUCCCUUAUUUUCCCCCAAUUCAACUUAACCGGAUACUUUAUUAGUUUAAGUAUCUGCCCGUUAUUAAUUAAAGUAUCCGCGCUGCUAUAUUAUGCAUCCGCCCGUUAAUUAAGUAUCCGUGCUGCUAACAACUUAAUAAUUUAAGUAUCCGCUCGUUAUUAAUUAAAGUAUCCGCGCUGCUAUAUUAUGCAUCCGCCCGUUAAUUAAGUAUCCGUGCUGCUAACAACUUAAUAAUUUAAGUAUCCGCUCGUUAUUAAUUAAAGUAUCCGCGCUGCUAUAUUAUGCAUCCGCCCGUUAAUUAUUAAAGUAUCCGCGCUGUUAUAUUAAGUAUCCACACUGCUAUAUUAUGUAUCCGAAAAACACUAAAAAAAGGAAUUUUUGGUAAUUAAUGAAAGAGUAGGGAAAGGAAGUAAUUUCUUUCUUAUACUAUGUCAUUUGCCUAAUUUUUACUAUUUUAAUUGGUCAAAUAUGGGCUUCAAUCUAUUUUAUGAGUCUCUACAAAUAUGGUCAAAAUGGUUUCAAUAUGGACAUCCAUAUUGACCAAUAAUAAAUUACUUAGUUUUCACUUCCACUCAAAAAAUUUAAUUGUGCUAAAAAUUAAAAAAAUUAAUAUUAAUUUUUAAAAAUUCAAUUAAUUUUCAAACUUAAUUGAAAAAAUAGGGGUAAGUUGAUGGAAGGAGGCACCAUGGAGGUGGGGGGUGCCCGGGGAGGGGGUAAUCACUAAUAUGGCAGUCAAAUGCACCACAAGAAGUUCAUCAUCCAUUAUACAACAGUAAAAUAAUAUUGUUGACCCUUUUAGAAAUUCAUUCUUUAUUAAACUACUGCUCUGAAGACCCUUCUAAAUGUUUCAUCAAUGCAACUUUACGACUUUUUCAGAAAUAUGUAUGUAUAAUUGUUGCAUUAUGAAAGUACAAGUAGAUCAAAAUGUUGGAUUCUAGAUUCAUGUUAAAGAAAUAUUCUCAAACAUUAAAAAAUUAAAAAUGAGUGUAACCUAGAUAACUCAAACGCUCAGCAAUGACUUGGAGCAUGAAGAACAAUAAAUCAAUGUUAAUAGAUAUAUCUUUUGUAGCUUAAGAUAUUAUUUUUAUUUAGAGAAGGUUUUGUUUCAUAUCCUUCAAAUUAAGCUUGCCAAAAAUAGUCAUAACUCACACUAAAAAUAUUUAAAAGAGCCGAAUGAGAAGGAAAAAAAGAAAAAUAUUAAAAGGACGAAAGGUUUGUCCAAGUGAGAUCAUAUACAUACCAAAUGAAAAAUAAUCAAUACAAUUUUAAGUAGACAACAAAAGAGCAAGAAAAAACAUACAUUAAAGGGAGUAAACUAUAAUAUAUCAAUGAUGAUAAGAAAUUAUUCUAACCAGAAAAUUUCACAUGUUUUGAAAUAACAUACCUCAAAAAAUUAACUAACACUUCAAUCAACUUUCAAUCCUUAAAGUACUCAUAAUAUCCACUGAUAAAAUUUAGUAAAAAUAGAUAACAACAAAGUUAUUAUCUAUGAGCAUAUGAGCAUGCAAAGUUAUUAACUCUCAGAGGAUUUUCUAAAGAACACAAAAUCUCAUCCUUGUAUGUGAAAUAAUGACGUUGUUGAUGAAGAAAUUAGAGAUUUGUAAGGGCUUUUUUUAUUGUACCUUCAACAAUUCCAGUAGAGAAAACUUGCUUGAAUACUCAAUUAACGUUUGUUAUUUAAUUUGUACUAACAAAUACUUAUAAUAAUAAUUUUGCAGAAAAAAACAACAAACUUUAAAGCAUGUACUCAAAAAUAACAAUUAAUAAUAUAAGCAUAAAUUAAUGACUGUAAAAAACAUACCAGGAUCUGUAACAAUAGAAUGAAACAGAAUGGAAAAAAUCGAGUCCACUGAAUGUACAGUGUCCCCUUAAAGAAAUUAUUCAUCUCUAGUACCCUAGGUUUAAAGGAAUAGAUCCUUUCAGGAUAGAACAAUUCUAUUCACCAGUGUAUUGAUACAAAAACAAUGGUGUCAGUUAGGGGUGUACAAAACCGAACCGAAAACCGAACCAAAUCGUAAAUCGAGUCAACCCGGAAAAAAAUCCGACUAGUGGUUUGGUUUGACUUGGUUUGGUUUUGAAAAAUAAAAACCGACUAUAUUUGGGUUGGGUUGGUUUUAACUAAAAAAAACCAACCCGACAUUAAAUANNNNNNNNNNNNNNNNNNNNNNNNNNNNNNNNNNNNNNNNNNNNNNNNNNNNNNNNNNNNNNNNNNNNNNNNNNNNNNNNNNNNNNNNNNNNNNNNNNNNNNNNNNNNNNNNNNNNNNNNNNNNNNNUUUAAUUUCCUUUAAUAUUUAGUCAUGUAACUAAUACUUAUUAAACUUAAUUUUAGCAUGAUUUAGUACUUUUAAAUUAUGAUCAUUUUCAUUAUGACUUGUUAAUUUGCAAUAUUUGUUUUACGCGAUUUCAUUAUUAUUAUUUUUGUUGGAUAUUUUAGUGUCAUUAAUCAUAUCAUAUUGUGUUAUAUUUUUAAGAAACAUCUUAGAUAGUUGUAUUUUGGUAGGACUAAAGAAAUAUUUGAAGUACAAGUAAAUUAUAUGUUGUGUAUGAAUACUUUACCGGAAAAACCCGAAACAACCCGAAAAAUCGAAAAAUCCGAAAAAAACUGAGGUUGAAAAACCCGAGUUUUAUUGGUUUGGUUUGGUUUAUAAAUUUAAAAAUCCAACACAAAUGGUUAGGUUUGAUAUUUGAAAAACCCGAACCAACCCGGCCAUGUACACCCCUAGUGUCAGUGAAUAAUACAACAGGAGCAAAAUACACAAAUAUUUAAUUGUCCAAAAGAAGAAGAAGUUCAAAAUUUUCGUUAUUUUAAAAUGAGAGGAAAUUCCUCUAUUUAUAGACAAUAAAAGGUAGUGUGAACAAAUGUUUAUUGUGUCUUAUCAGAAAGGUCACAACUCUUUGAAAAAAGUUUACAACCCUUCGGAAAGGACACAAACUUUCAUAAAAGUCACAACUUUUUCAUAAAAAGUCGCAACUUUUCAUGAAAGUCGCAACUCUUCCUAAAAAGUCGCAAUUUUUCAUGAAAGGGGAAGGCUAGUUUUGGAAAUAAAAUAAAUUAAAAGAAAAUUCUUGUUUGUGAUGGCGCUACGUAGGCGGGUUGAGGGCUCUCUUUUAUAUAUAUAUAUAUAUAUAUAUAUGUGAUUGAUUCCUUGCUGAUAAAAAAAAAAAAAUCUUCCAUCUUCAAGAAAGAAGUCAGUUCAUCUUCCCAAAAGUUUCAUACAUGAUACAACAGUGGAUCAACUCCUUUCAAUAACACAAAUUGAUUUGAACAAUAUUUUUAAUCUUGAAUAAAUUAAAGGGAAAAUACAUAAGUACCCCCCAGCCUAUGCCCAAAAUCUCUGAGACACACCUAACCUUUACUAAGGUCCUAUUACUCAACCGAACUUUUUUAUAUAUAAUUUUCUACCCCUUUUUGGCCUACGUGACACUAUCUUGUGGGCCAAGUGCGUGUUGACAAUUUUUUCAAGGAUAGUGCCACGUAGGCCGAAAAGGGGUAGAAAAUUAAUUAAAAAAUAAGUUUGGGGAAGGGGGAUUAAUAGGACCUUAGUAAAGGUUAGGUGUGUCUCAGGAAUUUGGGGCAUAGGCUGGGGGGUACUUAUGCAUUUUCCCUAAAUUAAAAUCUAUUUCAAGAAUAUUUUCAACCCUAGACAAAGCUACUAAAUCAAAAUCAAAAGCUUUCCAACAACAAUAAAUCGAUGGUGCACUGGGAUAUGCUUCAAAAUCUUUUUCAAUUCAUCAAAUUCUAUUUGAAGAAUAUUUUCAAACCAUUCAACAACAAUCUAUUUGAGCUUGAAAUUUGCAAUCCAUUUUGAAGCUUGAUGUUGUAUGCGUCAAUGGUGGUAGAAUUUUCAACCCCUUUCAACAACAAUAAAUCAAUUUGAAUUCAAAAUUUUCAAUCUAUUGUAGACUCACUUCAAAGCUUGAAAGUUUAUUUAUCAAUGGUGAGAGUAUAUUCAAUACCUUUUACCAACAAAUCAAUUCGAGUUUGAAUGUUUCGAUUCAAUUGCAGACUCAAUUUUAAGCUUGAAGUUUUGUCCGUCAAUGGUGAUAGUAUUUUCAACCCUUUUCAACAACAAAAAAUCGAUUUGAACAAAGAAUUGAAAUGAGUCUCUUAUUUUUCAUUGAAAGCACAUGCUAUUGUGUUUUUGUUUUGGUCAACUUUGGAGAAGGGCUGAAAAUAAAGAUAAUUAAAAAAGAACGUAGAAUUUGGGAGUGUUUUUGUUUGGGUACAUUAUUAAGAUGUUAGUGAGUGGGUGGGUAGGUUAUAAUAUAUAGGCAGGUUUUUAUUAAUCUGGGUGGGUCUCUGAUUUUGGAUUAAAAUUAAGUAAAAUAUCAGGUAUGCACAAGAUUGGAUACAUGUCCGUCUAUUGGUGUGAAGAAUACAAAUGCUCCAUUUUCUGAACAGCAAGAACCCUAAUAUCUCAAUAGUAUAACAAAAGAUGUAUGUAUACCAUUUUCAAUGGCUAGGGUGUAUUUAUCCUUUUUCCAUACUUUUUAUAAGUUCAUCCAAACAGGUCAUUAAUAGUGGGAGUAAUAAGAGAUAUACGAUAGAGUUGCUUAAUUGCAUGAAACGAAACAAACAGGAGAUCAUAUGAAGUCCACAAGUAGCAAAAACCGUAGAGAAGGAAAAUGAACUCACAGAAAUAUAGGCGUCAAGCAGAACGGAAAAACAAGACCUAAAAGAGCAUGUAAAUAUACCAAAGACCAUAGGACACAAAGCACGUAAAAAAAGCUAAUGAAUGGUGCCCCAAGUAUAUAACAUAAUAAUACAAGGCAACGCAACCAUGUCAUACACAACAAACUAUGAUUGAAUGAUUAAUUUUCUUUUGCCAAGGUUUGCUGGGGAGGGGAUUAUUUCUAGACUACAGACAUCUUUGAACCCAACUGUGGGCUCUGAUAUAUAAAUAUAAUACGAUACAGUAGGGAGUAUCAAGGAAAUGCUGGAAACCUUAAGGAGGCACACAAUGGCAAUCUCUAAGCAUUCAGAGCUAACGCGUAGACUGGCAUUUUAGCAUUGACUCCUUAGGGCAGUGUACUCAACACUGUUAAUUCCUCUACCAAAACAUAUUCACAGAGUAAUGCUACAUCUCCUUUGAAAUCAGGCUGCACAAUAUAAAAUUGUUACAUCUGCUUCCAGCUAAAUGCAUCAUUUUAGCCGCAAAAACUCAAGCUCCUGUUAACAUAAAUAUUCAUAAUAAUAAAGCUGUUAGUAAUAAUAUUCUCAAUUGUAGAAUAAAGACGGGCACAAGCAUGCCGCUCAACAAAAAAUGCAUAGGCCUAGCCAUUGCAUAGCCCCUUUCAAGUAAACUGUAACUUUAAAUCUCCAACUCACAGAUCAUGCCUAAGCCCAACUUCUAGAAUGUUUAUAGGAAAAAUUACUUGGAUGGGUAUCUUUUAAUAAACAAUUACUGAUUUUAGCGAUCUUUUUAUUUAUUACCAUUUAAAGCAAUACUAUGAUAAAUCUGCAAUAUGUAUUAAAAGUGAAUUAUGUAUGCAAUAGAUAUGUAUUAUAAUUGUUUUAAAAUAUAUUAUGCUUGUUCGGUGAGAAAUUUACACAUUAUAUUAAAAUGUGUGAUAAAAUGUGUGACAAGUAUAUUAUUCAUCAAUAAAACUUGUAUUAUAUGUGUUUUAUAAAUUGUUCCCCGUAAUAUGUAUUAAAACCGUAUUAUAAAGUGAUUAAAUGAAUAAAAAAAUGGUAUCACUAUAAAUGGUAAAUAUUUUCUUAAUAUAGUAUAUUUAUGUAAGUUUCCCAUGUUUAUAUGCUCGACCACCAACCCACCAAAACAAAAGGGUUGCAAGAUUAUCGGUGAUACUUGAGCUAUUUCUGGACCAACUUAAUAAAUUCUGCAAUUCAAAGAAAAGAAGAAACCUGCAGGCUUGUUUUUCCAC